GGGAUCACUGGCAGAGGAGGUUGUGUAGCCGCUUCCGUGCUACUCGCGCUGUGAGCAUUGCAAGCUAGAGCCGAGUACGCGGGCCGGCCAUCAUGUCACGUUACGGGCGGUAUGGAGGAGAAACCAAGGUAUAUGUUGGUAACCUGGGAACUGGCGCUGGUAAAGGAGAGUUAGAAAGGGCAUUCAGUUACUAUGGGCCCUUAAGAACUGUAUGGAUUGCCAGAAAUCCUCCAGGAUUUGCCUUUGUGGAAUUUGAAGACCCUAGAGAUGCAGAGGAUGCAGUUCGAGGAUUGGAUGGGAAAGUGAUUUGUGGUUCUCGAGUGAGGGUUGAAUUAUCAACAGGCAUGCCUCGGAGAUCUCGGUUUGAUAGGCCACCUGCCCGUCGUCCCUUUGAUCCUAAUGAUAGAUGCUAUGAGUGUGGUGAAAAGGGACAUUAUGCUUAUGACUGUCAUCGCUAUAGCCGACGAAGAAGAAGCAGGUCACGAUCUAGAUCACAUUCCCGAUCCAGGGGAAGGCGAUACUCUCGCUCACGUAGUAGGAGCCGCGGUAGGAGGUCAAGAUCAGCAUCUCCUCGACGAUCAAGGUCCGUGUCUCUUCGUAGAUCAAGAUCAGCUUCACUCAGAAGAUCUAGGUCUGGUUCUAUAAUAGGAUCGAGAUCCCGCUCAAGGUCGAGAUCAAGAUCCAGGUCUAUUUCACGACCAAGAAGCAGUCGUUCCCCAUCAGGAAGUCCACACAGAAGUGCAAGUCCAGAAAGAAUGGACUGAAGUUCUCAAGUUCACCCGUUAGGGAAAAGUUAUUUUGUUUACAUUAUUAUA
rnacentral:lncRNA from 1 species